rnacentral:rRNA from 1 species
UGAACGCUGGCGGUAUGCUUAACACAUGCAAGUCGAACGGAAACGAUACUAGCUUGCUAGUAGGCGUCGAGUGGCGGACGGGUGAGUAACGCGUAGGAAUCUGCCUGAUAGUGGGGGAUAGCCCGAAGAAAUUCGGAUUAAUACCGCAUAAUCUAUUCGUAGUAAAGUGGGGGACUUUCGAGCCUCACGCUAUCAGAUGAGCCUGCGUAAGAUUAGCUAGUUGGUAGGGUAAAAGCCUACCAAGGCAACGAUCUUUAGCUGGUCUGAGAGGAUGAUCAGCCACAUCGGGACUGAGACACGGCCCGAACUCCUACGGGAGGCAGCAGUGGGGAAUAUUGGACAAUGGGGGCAACCCUGAUCCAGCAAUACCGCGUGUGUGAAGAAGGCCUGAGGGUUGUAAAGCACUUUCAAUUGUGAAGAAAAGUUAACGGUUAAUAACCGUUAGCCUUGACGUUAACUUUAGAAGAAGCACCGGCUAACUCCGUGCCAGCAGCCGCGGUAAUACGGAGGGUGCAAGCGUUAAUCGGAAUUACUGGGCGUAAAGCGUGCGUAGGCGGUUUAUUAAGUCAGAUGUGAAAGCCCCGGGCUUAACCUGGGAACUGCAUUUGAAACUGGUCAACUAGAGUAUGGUAGAGGAAAGUGGAAUUUCUGGUGUAGCGGUGAAAUGCGUAGAUAUCAGAAGGAACAUCAAUGGCGAAGGCAGCUUUCUGGACCAAUACUGACGCUGAGGUACGAAAGCGUGGGUAGCAAACAGGAUUAGAUACCCCUGGUAGUCCACGCCGUAAACGAUGAUAACUAGCCGUUGGAGGGAUUUACCCUUUAGUGGCGAAGCUAACGCGUUAAGUUAUCCGCCUGGGGAGUACGGCCGCAAGGUUAAAACUCAAAGGAAUUGACGGGGACCCGCACAAGCGGUGGAGCAUGUGGUUUAAUUCGAUGCAACGCGAAGAACCUUACCUGGUCUUGACAUCCUGCGAACUUUCUAGAAAUAGAUUGGUGCCUUCGGGAACGCAGUGACAGGUGCUGCAUGGCUGUCGUCAGCUCGUGUCGUGAGAUGUUGGGUUAAGUCCCGUAACGAGCGCAACCCCUAUCCUUAUUUGCCAGCACGUCAUGGUGGGAACUAUAAGGAGACUGCCGGUGAUAAACCGGAGGAAGGCGGGGACGACGUCAAGUCAUCAUGGCCCUUACGACCAGGGCUACACACGUGCUACAAUGGGAAGGACAAAGAGCCGCGAAGCCGCGAGGUGUAGCUAAUCUCAGAAACCUUUUCGUAGUCCGGAUUGGAGUCUGCAACUCGACUCCAUGAAGUCGGAAUCGCUAGUAAUCGUAGAUCAGAAUGCUACGGUGAAUACGUUCCCGGGUCUUGUACUCACCGCC